GGAAAGAGACCAUGAUGGUGGCACAAAAGGAAGAAACUGAUGGUGCUCCUGUGAAAAAAAACCAAGGAACCAGGUUUCCCCUUAAGAGACCUAUAUGCCAGUAGCCGACUGCCAACAUCUGGACAGUGCAAGUCAACAGGGGCUGCCAAUGAGCCCAUUCACCAAGGGCUGCAGCUCCAUGUCCCAAGCCUGCUUCAAGACUGGCUUCUGAGCUUACAGGAUCUGGAAGAGGGCUUCCUGCUGCCUGCAUGCCCGGGCAAUGUUGGCAGCUUUCUCAGACACACGGAGCAGCUCCCGGAGGAUAGCUGACAUUUCUGAACCUUCCAGUUGCAGCUGCUGGUGGAAUUGGCACCCACCCUCUGGGCCGUCAGCUGGAAAAGUACAAGAAUGUGAAAGAGAAAGCGGUUCGGAGAAUGAUGUCAGGGUGCAUCUGGCACUAUUAGACAUCCCAUCCGGAGGUCAACCUGGUCAGCAGGGCUGAACAGCCCGUGCAUGUCGGAGUCACAUCCUCAGUGGGGAAGACCAGAAACACUCUACCACUGCACUGUUGCAUAACCAAGAAACUUUCCCCAUGAUGCCCUCAGAACACUCAGGUGAGCUCCUCACAGAGGCUACAAACUCCAGGAACCAACACUCCCCCUUCCCUCACACAGAAAGCUCUAAGUUUCUGCAUAGCUGCCCCAGGGAUCCCAAGUUUCUCCCCUUUGAACUUCACCUCUAUUGCCUCAAUAAUGACCAUCCUCCCACAACUUGGGCACAGCAACUUGACCAGUAGGAAAGAAGAAUCAGCUACAAACUUCAGUCCUGCAGCUAGCAGGUGUACAGAUUUUAGGAACUCAUCAUAACACAAUAAUCAGGUUUUUCAGUUCCAAAGUUAUCCUAGAGUCCAACCUUAAUCACUCUUUAUUCUGACCGUGGGAAACACUAUCAUAUUUUGUCAAGCUCCAAGUUGAAUGACCAGUUUCAACUUGGGAUUAAGCUUUCUCCAGCCAUCUUAGAGGGCCCAGCACUAUUUGCCUUUCUUCAGGGUCCUGGCUCCCUAAAAAAGUCUCUCACAGAUAUCAUUAUCUACAUGCAGAACUUUCUGAUUA